CCGCACUAGUCGGGGAGUUAGCGGUGCCCUGUACCCGCGAUCCGCUACAGCGGGGAUGAAUCCCGGCCCCCGGACGUGUGGAUGUGCCGUCUGCCCUGGAUAAGCAGUGAUGAUAGACCGGUCCCGCGCAACGCGGCUCCGUGAACCGUGUCAGGCGGGGAACCGAGCAGCACUAAGCGGCCCGCCGCGUGUGCCGCGGG
rnacentral:SRP_RNA from 1 species